GGGUUGUGAGGUUAAGCGACUAAGCGUACACGGUGGAUGCCCUGGCAGUCAGAGGCGAUGAAGGACGUGCUAAUCUGCGAAAAGCGUCGGUAAGGUGAUAUGAACCGUUACAGCCGGCGAUGUCCGAAUGGGGAAACCCAGUGUGAUUCGUCACACUAUCGUUAACUGAAUACAUAGGUUAACGAGGCGAACCGGGGGAACUGAAACAUCUAAGUACCCCGAGGAAAAGAAAUCAACCGAGAUUCCCCCAGUAGCGGCGAGCGAACGGGGAGCAGCCCAGAGUCUGAAUCAGCUUGUGUGUUAGUGGAACGGUCUGGAAAGUCCGACGGUACAGGGUGAUAGUCCCGUACACCAAAAUGCACAGGCUGUGAACUCGAAGAGUAGGGCGGGACACGUGGUAUCCUGUCUGAAUAUGGGGGGACCAUCCUCCAAGGCUAAAUACUCCUGACUGACCGAUAGUGAACCAGUACCGUGAGGGAAAGGCGAAAAAGAACCCCGGCGAGGGGAGUGAAAAAGAACCUGAAACCGUGUACGUACAAGCAGUGGGAGCACCUUCGGGUGUGACUGCGUACCUUUUGUAUAAUGGGUCAGCGACUUAUAUUCUGUAGCAAGGUUAACCGUAUAGGGGAGCCGCAGGGAAACCGAGUCUUAACUGGGCGUUAAGUUGCAGGGUAUAGACCCGAAACCCGGUGAUCUAGCCAUGGGCAGGUUGAAGGUUGGGUAACACUAACUGGAGGACCGAACCGACUAAUGUUGAAAAAUUAGCGGAUGACUUGUGGCUGGGGGUGAAAGGCCAAUCAAACCGGGAGAUAGCUGGUUCUCCCCGAAAGCUAUUUAGGUAGCGCCUCGUGAACUCAUCUUCGGGGGUAGAGCACUGUUUCGGCUAGGGGGUCAUCCCGACUUACCAACCCGAUGCAAACUACGAAUACCGAAGAAUGUUAUCACGGGAGACACACGGCGGGUGCUAACGUCCGUCGUGAAGAGGGAAACAACCCAGACCGCCAGCUAAGGUCCCAAAGUCAUGGUUAAGUGGGAAACGAUGUGGGAAGGCACAGACAGCCAGGAUGUUGGCUUAGAAGCAGCCAUCAUUUAAAGAAAGCGUAAUAGCUCACUGGUCGAGUCGGCCUGCGCGGAAGAUGUAACGGGGCUAAACCAUGCACCGAAGCUGCGGCAGCGACACUAUGUGUUGUUGGGUAGGGGAGCGUUCUGUAAGCCUGCGAAGGUGUGCUGUGAGGCAUGCUGGAGGUAUCAGAAGUGCGAAUGCUGACAUAAGUAACGAUAAAGCGGGUGAAAAGCCCGCUCGCCGGAAGACCAAGGGUUCCUGUCCAACGUUAAUCGGGGCAGGGUGAGUCGACCCCUAAGGCGAGGCCGAAAGGCGUAGUCGAUGGGAAACAGGUUAAUAUUCCUGUACUUGGUGUUACUGCGAAGGGGGGACGGAGAAGGCUAUGUUAGCCGGGCGACGGUUGUCCCGGUUUAAGCAUGUAGGCUGGUUGUCCAGGCAAAUCCGGAUAAUCAAGGCUGAGGUGUGAUGACGAGGUACUACGGUGCUGAAGUAACAAAUGCCCUGCUUCCAGGAAAAGCCUCUAAGCAUCAGGUAACAUCAAAUCGUACCCCAAACCGACACAGGUGGUCAGGUAGAGAAUACCAAGGCGCUUGAGAGAACUCGGGUGAAGGAACUAGGCAAAAUGGUGCCGUAACUUCGGGAGAAGGCACGCUGGUGUGUAGGUGAAGUCCCUGCGGAUGGAGCUGAGACCAGUCGAAGAUACCAGCUGGCUGCAACUGUUUAUUAAAAACACAGCACUGUGCAAACACGAAAGUGGACGUAUACGGUGUGACGCCUGCCCGGUGCCGGAAGGUUAAUUGAUGGGGUUAUCCGUAAGGAGAAGCUCUUGAUCGAAGCCCCGGUAAACGGCGGCCGUAACUAUAACGGUCCUAAGGUAGCGAAAUUCCUUGUCGGGUAAGUUCCGACCUGCACGAAUGGCGUAAUGAUGGCCAGGCUGUCUCCACCCGAGACUCAGUGAAAUUGAACUCGCUGUGAAGAUGCAGUGUACCCGCGGCAAGACGGAAAGACCCCGUGAACCUUUACUAUAGCUUGACACUGAACAUUGAGCCUUGAUGUGUAGGAUAGGUGGGAGGCUUUGAAGCGUGGACGCCAGUCUGCGUGGAGCCAACCUUGAAAUACCACCCUUUAAUGUUUGAUGUUCUAACGUUGGCCCCUUACCGGGGUUGCGGACAGUGUCUGGUGGGUAGUUUGACUGGGGCGGUCUCCUCCCAAAGCGUAACGGAGGAGCACGAAGGUUAGCUAAUCCUGGUCGGACAUCAGGAGGUUAGUGCAAUGGCAUAAGCUAGCUUGACUGCGAGCGUGACGGCGCGAGCAGGUGCGAAAGCAGGUCAUAGUGAUCCGGUGGUUCUGAAUGGAAGGGCCAUCGCUCAACGGAUAAAAGGUACUCCGGGGAUAACAGGCUGAUACCGCCCAAGAGUUCAUAUCGACGGCGGUGUUUGGCACCUCGAUGUCGGCUCAUCACAUCCUGGGGCUGAAGUAGGUCCCAAGGGUAUGGCUGUUCGCCAUUUAAAGUGGUACGCGAGCUGGGUUUAGAACGUCGUGAGACAGUUCGGUCCCUAUCUGCCGUGGGCGCUGGAGAAUUGAGGGGGGCUGCUCCUAGUACGAGAGGACCGGAGUGGACGCAUCACUGGUGUUCGGGUUGUCAUGCCAAUGGCACUGCCCGGUAGCUAAAUGCGGAAGAGAUAAGUGCUGAAAGCAUCUAAGCACGAAACUUGCCCCGAGAUGAGUUCUCCCUGAGACUUUAAGUCUCCUGAAGGAACGUUAAAGACGAUGACGUUGAUAGGCCGGGUGUGUAAGCGCAGCGAUGCGUUGAGCUAACCGGUACUAAUGAACCGUGAGGCUUAACCUUACAACGCCGAAG
rnacentral:rRNA from 1 species